rnacentral:rRNA from 1 species
GGACGAACGCUGGCGGCGUGCUUAACACAUGCAAGUCGAACGGAAAGGCCCUGCUUUUGUGGGGUGCUCGAGUGGCGAAUGGGUGAGUAACACGUGAGUAACCUGCCCUUGACUUUGGGAUAACUUCAGGAAACUGGGGCUAAUACCGGAUAGGAGCUCCUGCUGCAUGGUGGGGGUUGGAAAGUUUCGGCGGUUGGGGAUGGACUCGCGGCUUAUCAGCUUGUUGGUGGGGUAGUGGCUUACCAAGGCUUUGACGGGUAGCCGGCCUGAGAGGGUGACCGGCCACAUUGGGACUGAGAUACGGCCCAGACUCCUACGGGAGGCAGCAGUGGGGAAUAUUGCACAAUGGGCGGAAGCCUGAUGCAGCAACGCCGCGUGCGGGAUGACGGCCUUCGGGUUGUAAACCGCUUUCGCCUGUGACGAAGCGUGAGUGACGGUAAUGGGUAAAGAAGCACCGGCUAACUACGUG